rnacentral:lncRNA from 1 species
GGAAAUGGAGACUUCGUGACUUGCUCGGAGAUGGAGAAUUCAGAGCUCUUCUUCUCUGUUUUAGGUGGUCUUGGCCAGUUCGGUAUCAUCACCAGAGCUAGGGUUUUGCUACAGCCAGCACCACAUAUGGUGAAUACUUUAAAACCAAAAAUAAUCAUAAUAUAAUAUCUCUCAAUUAGAUAUCUUUCUAAAAAAAUUUGAUUGAUGGGUGAUUUUUUUUUUAGAUUUCACUUGAGUAAGUAAAGAUUAUUAAUGAUUGUAUUAGGUGAGGUGGAUAAGGGUGGUUUACGCCGAGUUCGACGAGUUCACUCGUGACGCCGAGUGGCUGGUGAGUCAGAAAGAUGAGUCAUCGUUUGAUUACGUGGAAGGAUUCGUGUUCGUCAACGGCGAUGACCCGGCCAACGGAUGGCCUACAGUUCCG